rnacentral:rRNA from 1 species
UACGGAGGGUGCGAGCGUUUGUUCGGAAUUACUGGGCGUAAAGCGUGCGCAGGCGGUUCGUUAAGUUCGUUGUGAAAGCCCCGGGCUCAACCUGGGAACUGCAAUGGAAACUGGCGGGCUUGAAUGCGGCAGAGGGGGGUGGAAUUCCAGGUGUAGCGGUGAAAUGCGUAGAUAUCAGGAGGAACACCGGUGGCGAAGGCGGAUCUCUGGGCCAUAACUGACGCUGAGGAGCGAAAGCAUGGGGGAGCGAACAGG